rnacentral:rRNA from 1 species
GACGNUGAGGCUCGAAAGCGUGGGUAGCGAANCAGGAUUAGAUACCCUGGUAGUNCACGCCGUAAAACGAUGAGUGCUAGGUGUUAGGCCCUUUCCGGGGCUUAGUGCCGGAGCUAACGCAAUAAGCACUCCGCCUGGGGAGUACGACCGCAAGGUUGGAACUCAAAGGAAUUGACGGGGGCCCGCACAAGCGGUGGAGCAUGAGGUUUAAUUCGAAGCAACGCGAAGAACCUUACCAGGUCUUGACAUCCCGAUGCUAUUCUUAGAGAUAGGAAGUUACUUCGGUACAUCGGAGACAGGUGGUGCAUGGUUGUCGUCAGCUCGUGUCGUGAGAUGUUGGGUUAAGUCCCGCAACGAGCGCAACCCUUAUUGUUAGUUGCCAUCAUUAAGUUGGGCACUCUAGCGAGACUGCCGGUAAUAAACCGGAGGAAGGUGGGGAUGACGUCAAAUCAUCAUGCCCCUUAUGACCUGGGCUACACACGUGCUACAAUGGUCGGUACAACGAGUUGCGAGCCGGUGACGGCAAGCUAAUCUCUGAAAGCCGAUCUCAGUUCGGAUUGGAGGCUGCAACUCGCCUCCAUGAAGUCGGAAUCGCUAGUAAUCGCGGAUCAGCACGCCGCGGUGAAUACGUUCCCGGGUCUUGUACACACCGCCCGUCACACCACGAGAGUUUGUAACACCNGA